rnacentral:rRNA from 1 species
CGGACGGGUGAGUAACGCGUAAGCAAUCUGCCUUUGUGUGUGGAAUAACAACCGGAACAGUUGCUAAUACCGCAUAACGCAGAGAGAUCGCAUGGUCUUUCUGCCAAAGAUUUAUCGCACGAAGAUGAGCUUGCGUCGAUUAGAUAGUGGCGGGUAACGGCCCACCAAGUCAACGAUCGGUAGCCGGACUGAGAGGUUGAACGGCCACAUUGGAACUGAGAUACGGUCCAGACUCCUACGGGAGGCAGCAGUGGGGAACAUUGGGCAAUGGACGAAAGUCUGAACCCCCAGCGACGCCGCGUGAGGGAAGAAGGUCUUCGGAUUGUAAACCUUAGUCAACAGGGACGAAGCAAGUGACGGUACCUGUGGAGGAAGCCACGGCUAACUACGUGCCAGCAGCAGC